UAACGCGAAGAACCUUACCAAGUCUUGACAUCUGGAUGACAGGGGCGUAACGGCCCCCUUACUUCGGUACAUCCAAGACAGGUGGUGCAUGGUUGUCGUCAGCUCGUGUCGUGAGAUGUUGGGUUAAGUCCCGCAACGAGCGCAACCCCUGUUCCCAGUAGCCAGCGGAUAAAGCCGGGCACUCUGGGGAGACUGCCGGGGACAACCCGGAGGAAGGCGGGGAUGACGUCAAAUCAUCAUGCCCCUUAUGGCCUGGGCUACACACGUGCUACAAUGACGCAGACAGAGGGAGGCGAAGCCGCGAGGCGGAGCAAACCCCAGAAAUGGCGUCUCAGUUCGGACUGCAGCCUGCAACUCGGCUGCACGAAGCCGGAAUCGCUAGUAAUCGCAGAUCAGCAUACUGCGGUGAAUACGUUCCCGGGUCUUGUACACACGCA
rnacentral:rRNA from 1 species